GAGUUUAAAGUUUAGCAUUUGGAAGGUGGGAGUUGACGUUGAGUCAGCAUUAACUUCUUUCAUGCAAUUAUAGAUAUUUCAUAAUUUCACUAAUAUGUACUAUGCUACUUGUUUUGUUCAAUUAUAUUUGGGUUUAUGUUUUAUAUUUGGAUUUAGGGUUUCUGUUUGGAUUUAGGGUUUAUUGAUUACGGUUUAGGGUUUUGUGAUUAGGGUGUAGUAUUUAAGGGUUGAGGGUGGGGGUUAGGAUAUGGUUUAUUAUUUAGAUGUUGGGAAUGUGCUGGCGUCCUAUUCUAUUUUUGUAAUAUGGAAUAGAACAUUUCGUAAUGGGUGGGAUUAGUAUCCUAUACUACUUCUCCGAUAUGAAAUACUAUCUUUAUUAAAAGUCUGUUUUGAUUCACUCAUUUUACAUUAUUUAAUUAUUUUUUGCAUUCACUGUUUUUACUAGAUGAUUGUUAUGGAAAUAGACUUACAUUGUGUAAUAAAUGAAAUACUCCAUUUAUUAAAACAAUGUUAUAUUUUCAUCUACUUGUUUUACAACACAUACAUAUGUGG
rnacentral:lncRNA from 1 species